GACUUUCCAACAUGGGGGUGGUCUGUAAGACUUGACAAGUCACCUGUCAGAUGCCGAGGAGGCAGUGUAUUGUUUAUUGGAACUAAGAUUUAAGGAACAAGACUUUUUAUGUACAGUAUGUUCAUGAUUCUUUGAGAAGUGAGUUUAACGUUGGUCAUAUCAUGAAAAUUAAAAAGACAUUUGUAUGAAGA